rnacentral:lncRNA from 1 species
AUUUUGAGGAGCUGAAAAUAGGUACCGGUACACAAUAUCAAAUAUUGUUCUAAUCAAUUCAAAAGUAUCAAAACCUACUUAAUCCUUUAAAAAUUGAUUUAUAUGAUUCUAAUAUUAUAAAAAAGUAUGAAUCACCAUAACAUGAUUUAAAACCUUACCUGAGCAUCGUAAUCACGUAGUGAGAUGUUUCUGAGUUCUCGAAAUCUUAGAUUCUUCAAUUUUCAACAAUCACGCACCGAACUCUUCAAGACUCCGACUCAAAUCAUGAAAGCUGCCAAUACAAAAUCCCUAACAAACCG